CAUAUCAUGCUGAAAUCAUAUGAUUACCAAAGCUAAGCAAUAUUGAGCCUAGUCAGUACCUAGAUGAGUGACCACUUGGGAAUACCAGGUGCUGCAAGC